AACGAACGCUGGCGGCAUGCCUAACACAUGCAAGUCGAACGAAGCCUUCGGGCUUAGUGGCGCACGGGUGCGUAACGCGUGGGAACCUACCAUCAGGUUCGGAAUAACAGUUAGAAAUGACUGCUAAUACCGGAUAAUGUCUUCGGACCAAAGAUUUAUCGCCUUUUGAUGGGCCCGCGUAAGAUUAGGUAGUUGGUGGGGUAAAGGCCUACCAAGCCGACGAUCUUUAGCUGGUCUGAGAGGAUGAUCAGCCACACUGGGACUGAGACACGGCCCAGACUCCUACGGGAGGCAGCAGUGGGGAAUAUUGGACAAUGGGCGAAAGCCUGAUCCAGCAAUGCCGCGUGAGUGAUGAAGGCCUUAGGGUUGUGAAGCUCUUUUACUGGGGAUGAUAAUGACAGUACCCAGAGAAUAAGCUCCGGCUAACUCCGUGCCAGCAGCCGCGGUAAUG
rnacentral:rRNA from 1 species